UCAACGGAAGCACUUACAAAAAUAACACCUUGGAUUCGAACGCAUCCUACGAGUCUAAUUCAACGUACUACACUUCCAAACAAAACUCAGCAACAAAUAAAAGCUUUUUACCUACCGGGACAAACAGCCAACAAGAAAACAGCAAUCCUACAAACGCGUACGUCAUUAUUUCACUCUUCGCUUUUUGUUCCAACUAUUCCGUCAAUUUAUAAAUUAUUAAUAAACCACAACUACUUCAAAACUCAAGUAAUCCCUCCACCAACAACACAGACACUGAAACCUUUUCCAGAGAUGAAUACUUCUGCCCUACUCUUCGAAGUGGCCCCGCCCAUCACCGUUUGUGAUGGGUGAGGCGUUGGUGGGUUUUAUUUAAUUUCGUUAUUUGGUGGUGACAUCGUGUUAGUGUGAGGUUGGCAAACAGUUUGUGUAAUCGUAUUGUUAGCAGACAACGGUAAAAACUAGCCUUUGUACCCAGACUCGGAUUUCCUGAAGGGGUCUCCGAAAUCUGUUUUUUAUCAACCCAUUCAGUUUACUGUUUUAAUGAUAGUUUGAAUCAUAGCUGUCCACCAUCCGUCAUUAGUAUGUGGAACAUUACUUCUCAUAAAGUGGAAUACUUACUAACAAGCUGACUCCUAGAAUGUCGUUGGUGACAGCCACCACUACUGGCAGAGUUUUCAAGACAAAAGGAGAAGUGGAAGAAGGUUGCCAAGUCUUUCACCGUAUCACACAUACAUGCACUCACAUCUACAGGCAAGUUAGAGUCCCUGGUACAUCUUACAAUAUGUCUUUGGAAUGUGGGAAGAAGCGAGAACACCCAGAGAAAACCCACUUGAACAGAGGGAGGACAUGCAAACUCAGCACAGAAGGUGCAAAGAAUCAAACUGGAGGACCUCUUGAUGUGCAGUGGCAGCGCAGUUUGUUGCACCACUGUGAAGGAAUAACAUAGUAGAUUUUAAAUUGAUAUCAUGGUGCAGUCACACCCUCAAUUUAAUUAUUUUGAAAGUUCAUUUUCUAUAAUAAGAUCAUAAAUAUUUUUUUAUCUAAUAUAAAUAGUUGGUAUGGACUCUAUAAACAUUUUAAUUUGAAUUGUCAUGAUUCUGACAAAUUAAAAAUAUCUUACAAUAAGCUAUUAUAUGUUAUAUAACAGGUUUAAUUAAAAUUAUUGUUCAACUAUUGAAGACAAAUUGUAAUACGCCAUUACAAUAUAUAUUUUGAUUAAUCUUUGUUUUAAAUACUGGCUGUAUGUUACAGAUAAUGUUUGAGAUUGUGUCAAAAGCCAAGGGUGAAAAUAGAAGUACUAUAUUUAUAUAUUUUCAAUUAUUUUAGGUUGGAGUAACCUUGAAAAUAAGUAGUAUACCAUCCUAUUUAUGUUAUGUCGAAUUACGAUGAAGAAACUUCAGUAAAGGUAGUUUAUUUCACAAUGUGUUUUAAAUGUAUUGUGCAGUAAAUGAGACAGAUGCAUUUAAUGAUAUGUAAUUACAACUGGGAUAGACUGCAAAGUUUUGAUAUAUAAACAGGACUGAAAUCCAUUAAACGUCUGUCGGUACACAGUA